GAUGAACGCUAGCGAUAGGCUUAACACAUGCAAGUCGAGGGGCAGCAUGGUCUUAGCUUGCUAAGACUGAUGGCGACCGGCGCACGGGUGCGUAACGCGUAUGCAACUUGCCUCACAGAGGGGGAUAACCCGUCGAAAGACGGACUAAUACCGCGUACACUCCAUCUUGGGCAUCCAAGGUAGAGGAAAUGAAAUUCGCUGUGAGAUAGGCAUGCGUCCCAUUAGCUAGUUGGUGAGGUAACGGCUCACCAAGGCGACGAUGGGUAGGGGAACUGAGAGGUUGAACCCCCACACUGGUACUGAGACACGGACCAGACUCCUACGGGAGGCAGCAGUGAGGAAUAUUGAUCAAUGGGCGAGAGCCUGAACCAGCCAAGUCGCGUGAAGGAUGACUGUCUUAUGGAUUGUAAACUUCUUUUAUACGGGAAUAACAAGAGUCACGUGUGACUCCCUGCAUGUACCGUAUGAAUAAGCAUCGGCUAACUCCGUG
rnacentral:rRNA from 1 species